CGCAGUUUGGUACAGCCGAGGCUGCUCGUUGCUUACUAACUCAUGAGAUAGAAACCAUAAGGAAGUGCCUAGAGAAACAUAAGGUAAUGGUGAUUAUGUUUUUUUCUACUUUUUAUUUCUUCAGCUUUAUCUCUGGCAUGUCGAGUUAUGUAUUGAAAGUUUCAUAUCGUUUUGUAGUGAGACUAAUUAAUCAACAGGGAUUUAGAUUAAGGCUUGUGGUCAUUCACUGGGAGGUGCAACGGCUUCUUUGCUUGCAAUGAUGCUCUGUAAAAAGUCAUAUAAUGAGCGUGGAUUCAGCCCUGAUACAAUUUCCGCAGUUGGAUAUGCCACCCCUCCUUGUGUAUCCAAAGAACUUGCUGAAAGUUGCUCUGAUUAUGUAACAACAGUGGUGAUGCAGGUCAGUCUGUGAUUUAACAGUUGACUCACAAAAUUUUCGUUUAUAUACAAUUUUAUAAAAUCUCAGUCAGUCCAUCGAUAAUAACACCUUAUAGCUUUUACUUAAAGAUUUUUCUUUUUGUCCUCUUUGAUGGAGAAUGGUUCUGCUUCAAGUUUUAUUAACUUGUCUAUAUGUGUGCAGGAUGAUAUAAUCCGAAGAUAAAGUGUUGCUUCAUUAUUAAGAUUGAGGAAUGAAAUUCUUCAAACUGAUUGGUAAGAAACCACCAUAUUUGGAAGCUUUUCGAGACCUUUAUCUAAACAGAUGCCAGUCCAAAAUUUUGAAGUGAGUAGUAUCUGUAUAAAAAACUUCUUACAACCAAUUACUAAAGAUUUUAAGUUAUUUUCUCUUUUUUGUUCAGUAAAAGGUACAAGCAGAUUCUGAAUUGUAUCCCGUUAUAGUGGUGAUCAAGUGACCUUUUUUUUUUUUUCAAUGCCAUUGACAUAAAAUUACCUGUAUUGUUUUG
rnacentral:lncRNA from 1 species